CGUUUGUUUGUGGUUUUUGACCUCCUGCGGCGGCUAUUAAAAGAUAGGAAAAAGCUAGAUUCAGGACAUCAUCUACUUUAGGCUUUAGUUUUCUUUUCCCUAGCCGUCAGACGUUGGAGACUCUUCUCUUGCUUUUUGGCUUUCACGUUUUUGACUCUCUCACUUGAGUCUUCGGAUCUGUACAAUUCGUGGGGGCUUUUGGCAUUGAAUUUGGGGAUUCAGUACGAUUGCCAACGCAGAGAUAAGGAAGACGCUCUCUUUUUUCUUUCUUCGUACUUCACUGUUCCAGAUUCUUUGAUGUCUGCGUGGAUGAAAUUAAUUAAUUCGCGCAAGAUUGACACGAUGAGGAGCGGCUAAUUUCCUCCUCUACCCAAAGGUUGACGCAAAGGCGCGGUCCAUAAUAUCUGUGAGAUCUAAUCGAAUUUCAUUAUUUCUUCCAUUUUAUUGCUAUUCGUGCGUUUCCUGAAUUAAUUGUUCAUGGGUAUUUUAUUAAUUGAAUAUCAACGGCCGGGUAUUUGAUUUAAUUUAAUAGCCUACUGCCACGUUAAUUAAAUAGAAUCCGUAAUUGUUCAUUUAAUUGACACCCCGUGGCAACCACCAUAAUUGGCUUUAUGAUGGGGAAACGCAUGAUCUAAUUUAAAUAAACCCUCUUAGCGUGUUUAUUGGUUAGGGUUGGGUUCUUCUAGCUUUAAUGCAAUUGGGUAAUUAAAUUCCUAUGGUCGUACCUAGGGUUGUUAUCUGGUUAGGGAAGCAGUUAAUGGUCGUACCUUGACUGUCGAAAAGGUAAGGAAGAACUGGUUGUCAGAGCUUAUUGAUAACUAUAACCAACCUAGUGAUGAAUGGGUGAAAUAUCUUUGUAUCGAUGAACAUUUACUUGGACCGUGCCUGAGCAGUUGAUCCUUUGGGUAGAACUUUUAUUAAUUGCUAUUUCUAGUGAAUUGUGCUUUGUGAGUUAGUUUUGAAUUUUGUAUGUUUUAUUUUAUUUUAUUUUUAUUUGCCUCUUAUUGAAAAUCCCCCAAUUUCGUUCUACUAAUUUGAAAAGAAAUAAUUUCCUACCUGCUCCCUGUGGAAUCGACCCUACUUGCCAUUGUACGCAAAAUUAGUAUUUUUAUAGAUAAAUCCGGUAUAUCGGAUCAAGCAAACUCUUCGGGAACAGGGUGAAUCAAGUAACCCAUUGCACACCUAGGGUCCCUGCUCCAUUACUUGGAUUUGUUCUAUAAUUAUUUAAUUGAGGUGGUAAUUAGAACUUUUUAGUAAUUAUUAUUGCACAGGUUCGGCACCUGUCAAUUUUUGGCGCCGUUGCCGGGGAGCUGGCGUUUGGAUUAUUUGUUUCUUUUCAAAUUCAGUUUUUAUUUUUAUUUUUAUUUUAUUUUAUUUUUCUUGGUACUUUUGCUAGUUUAUGCCCCGUUCGUCUCGCACAGGUGAAUUGAUAUACGACGCGGAGGUUGAGAAGGCAGCGCGUAAGCGGAGGCAAGAGACCAAGAGACGAAAAGAAGGGCACUCAUUUACUGCAAACGAGUCAGUAGAAGACGAAAUAAGUAUGGCCAACACCCAAACAUUAAGGGAGCUGGCUGCCCCGGAACUGACUCACCAGCCCUUGUGCAUCACAUUCCCCACUUUGGCUGAGAAUACGGCUUUCGAACUGAAGUCGGGGUUGAUUCACCUCUUACCUUCUUUCCAUGGUCUCUCUGGCGAAGAAUCGCACAAGCACGUCAAGGAGUUCGAGGUGGUUUGCUCUAGUAUGAAAUCCCCUGGGGUCACUGAAGAGCAAAUUAGACUGAGAGCCUUCCCGUUUUCUCUCAAAGAUGCAGCUAAAGAUUGGCUGUACUACCUACCAGCAGGUAGUAUUACCACAUGAGCGCAGCUGAAAAAGAAAUUCUUGGAAAAAUUCUUCCCUGCAUCCCGGGCUGCGAGUUUGAGGAAGGAGAUCUGCGGCAUUAAACAAUAUCCCGGUGAGUCCUUGUAUGAAUACUGGGAAAGGUUUAACAAGUUGUGCACUAGAUGCCCGCAGCAUCAAAUUAGUGAGCAACUAUUAAUCCAAUACUUCUAUGAGGGGCUCCAAUCAACAGACAGAAGUAUCAUUGACGCUGCCAGUGGGGGAGCACUUGCAAACAAGACACCGAGGGAAGCGUGGGAGCUCAUCGAAGCCAUGGCAGAGAACUCCCAGCAAUUUGGCUUCCGUGAGAGCAACCCUCCUCGUAGAGUCAACGAGGUAGAGACUUCAUCCUUACAGCAGCAACUGUCAGAAUUGACAUCGGUUGUUAGGCAAUUAGCCAUGAGAGACAUGCCGCGAGCGAAAGUAUGUGGAAUCUGCACUAGCAUGGACCAUUGCACAGACUCGUGCCCCAUUUUGCAAGAGGAUGGGCUGAGCAAGUGAACAUGGCUGGAGGCGUGCCCGCGCCUCGUAGGCAAUACGAUCCGUAUUCCAACACGUACAAUCCGGGUUGGAGAGAUCACCCCAAUCUCAGCUAUGGUAGUAGGCCACAAAAUGCAUUCUCCAAUCGGCCUCCAGGAUUUCAGCAACCUUGGCAACAUAAGUCUCAACCCUCGUCCUCAAGCUCAGGGAGUUCUCUGAAAGAAAUUGUCAAGAGUUUGGCCAACACUACCACUCAACUCGUCACGACCACCACUCAGUUCCAACAGGACACCAAAGCAGGCAUGAAGGACAUGGAGAUUCGAAUGAGUCAAAUGGCAACUGCCAUUAACCGCCUGGAGUCCCACGUCUAUGGGAAAUUGCCAUCACAACCCGAGGCAAAUCCCAAGAAUGUAAGUGCCAUGACAUUAAGGAGUGGCAAAGAGGUGGAUGGACCUAAAGUGGUAAAUUCGAAAAGCAAAAGUGAGGAGGAGAUAGAAAAGGAGAUUGAAGAGGAAGGGCGCAUUCGCGAAGAGUCUAAGGUAACAUCUAUUCCUUCGAUCCCUAUUAAAUCUAAUAUAGCUCCUUUUCCUUGCAGGUUGGAAAAGACAAAGAGGGCAGAAAAGGAAAAAGAAAUCCUGGAUGUGUUCCGCAAAGUUCAAGUAAACAUCCCCCUAUUGGAUGCGAUCAAGCAGGUACCCAAGUACGCAAAGUUCUUGAAAGACUUGUGCGUUAACAAAAGAAAGCUAAGGGGUGAUGAAAGAGUGAUGGUAGGAGAGAAUGUAUCAGCUGUACUUCAAAGGAAACUCUCACCCAAAUGCGGAGAUCCAGGUAUGUUUGCUAUCCCCUGUAAGAUUGGUCAUUCUAGUAUCAAAAAUGCCAUGAUAGAUUUAGGAGCUUCUAUUAAUGUGAUGCCUAAGUUAAUCUAUGAUUCCCUAAAUUUAGGACCUUUAAAAGAAACGGGGAUAAUAAUUCAAUUGGCUGAUCGUACAUGUGCUUAUCCGGAUGGGAUAGUUGAGGAUGUUUUAGUGCAAGUAGAUGGAUUAAUUUUUCCUGCUGAUUUUUAUGUACUUUACAUGGAUGAUAGAAGUGCCCCAAAUCUAUCACCCAUUAUAUUAGGAAGACCAUUUUUGAGUACUGCCCAAACUAAAAUUGAUGUUAGUAAGGGUACUCUCACGAUGGAAUUUGAUGGAGAAAUAGUCCACUUUAACAUUUUUGAUACAAUGAAACAUCCUGUUAACUCUCAUUCUGUGUUUGCUAUGUAUACCACUAAUCCCUCUGUGCAAGAAUUUUCUAAGUUUGCUUGUAGGGGUAAAUCCAAGGUUGCUACGAACAAGUCCUAUAGGAUGAAAGCAAUUCAUGAGGUAAAAAUGGAGAGAAAAUUUAGGAAAAAAGUUGCACUCAAUGGCCAUGUGGAUCCUGGAGGAGGGCCACCAAUUACAAGGAAAAUUCAAUUACAUCCAGACUAAAGAGUGGUGCUAUGUCUAGCCAAAGACAUUAAAGAAAGGCGCUGCUUGGGAGGCAACCCAAGGCUUCUUUUGUUUUAGUUUUCUUAUAUUUUUUAAGUUUUUGUUAAGUGUUAGUGUCACUUAGUGGGUUGUUAUUUUGUGACAGGAAGUUGGCAGCUAGGCAUGCCCACGCUAGGUCAUCACACCUAAGGAAUGGAGUUUUGGAAUUGACGGUCAGACGACUAUAACUUCUAAGGCGUGCCCACGCCUUCCAACCCUUCCGAAAAAGAAACUUCAGUCUUCUCCUUCCUGUUGGUGUUGCGUCCACCGCCACCACACCACCUUGUGCACGCAGCCGUCUCACCUCCUCCGUCUUAGUGUCUCACUUUCUCUCCCCGGUGGUCAGGGAAGUUUCUUUUCUUUUCCCCUAAUACUUCAUUUGUCUUUUCUAUAUUGAGGACAAUGUAGGUUUUAGGUGUGGGGGGGAGUGGCUUCCAUUAGUUCUUUCUUUUUCAUUAGUUCUUUUUGCUUUGUUACUUUAAAAAAAAAAAAAACACAUGGGAUGAAUGAUACAAAAAAAAAAUGAAAAAAUAAAAAACAUUGUAGUUAGUUGGCUUUUUGGUUAUUUCUAUGCUUGUUAGUGUUGGGGCAUGUUGCUGUGAUGAAUGACACAAUCAAAGUGAGUGGUUAUGUGGUCAAGUAUGCUAGCUAUGCAUUUUGUUUCCCUUGGCAAUGUCGUUGAAUGUUGAAUAUGCAGGAAUUGACCCAUUCUUGUAACUUUUGCGGAGCUUUUGAGCCUUGCUUGAGCAUAUUAUUCUUAUUUGCUCUAUUUUGUUUGAUUGAGUGGGUAUCACACAUGGUAUUGGCAUUCUAGAACUUGCUAGUUUAUACAUGUCAAGGCCACAUUUUUGUUGAAUUGGAUGCAUUUGAAAUGAUAAGGGCAUUUAGGAUUUAACCCUCUUUAGCUAUCUAAAAAAAUCAAGCCCUCAUCUUAUCUCCCAAUAGUGAACCAAUUUGAGCUUUUGUCCCUCGUUUCUGGUUGUUAUCGGUGUUUGUUAACCCAAGACCUCUUUAAACUUUCUUGUUUAUCCCUGUGUUGUCAUGGGAUGUCUGAAUUCCAUCAUUUGUGCAAAGCAAACAAAAUUGGGGUUGCAAGUACUAUUAGAUUAGGAGCUAUAUGAUGCUAUCCUUGUAUAAAGGAGGGGAAAUUGGAAAAAGGCCACUGACCAGAGGACUUUGGCUUACAGGGCGUGCCCACGCCUUACAGGACUCUCCCUUGUUAAAAAAAAAAAAAAAAAACUGAAUAGACCUCAUGACCAGAGGACUAUGGGCUACAAGGCGUGCCCACGCCUUGUGAGCAGUUCAAAAAAAAAAAAAAAAAAAAAAAAAAAUUUCUGGGGCACUUGUACAGGGUGUACAGCAAAUGGAAAUUGCCUUGUUAGUAAAACUCCUCCGGUAAAGCACUGUGGUUAUUAGGGAGUUUCGGACAUUCUCUUGACACUUUACCUCCUAUCUAUACCUUCUUAACCCACCUUUCACCUGAGCCCCAUUACAAUCCUGUUAAAUUCCCUUUGAUUCAUGUGUUUAGUUCACUUUUAAGUGGUGGAGAUGUGAUAAAUGUGCAAGCCUAUGGUAAUGACAUUCCGUGAUGUUGAAUUGAGCGUUCCUAGUAUUCAUAUAGAUUCUUUGAAUUACAACAUGUCCGGUGUGUUCUACUUUUGGUGAUAUUGUCAGGGACCCUAGAUGCUUGUGUUAGUAUAGACUAUUACAUGACCUCUGCUCUCUUGGUUGUACUUCUGAGCUCCGAAAUGCUUGAGGGCAAGCAUUGUCUAGGUGUGGGGGGAUUUGAUAGAACGAUUAUUUGGCGUAUUUUGCACUGUUAUUUUGUCCUAAUUUUGGCUAUUCUCGGUACUAAGAAUUGGAAUUUCACUCAUAUUCGAUAUUUGUGUGAAUUGUAGGUGGUAGGCAUGAAAAAUGAUCUCGCGGGGUGAAUUUCCAGAAGACUUCCCGUUCCAAGGCGUGGCCACGCCUUAGAAGGUGGACGAAACCGAAAGCCGGACUGCGGUCCACGUGGACCGCGAGGAGCACGGGAUUAAAACUCCAAAAGCUAGCUUUUGUUUCAAUCAAUUGGGUCAGACGUGACUUGGCUCAAAGAAGGGCUUCAAUUAAAAAGAAAAGAAAGGGCCAGACGUUUGUUUGUGGUUUUUGACCUCCUGCGGCGGCUAUUAAAAGAUAGGAAAAAGCUAGAUUCAGGACAUCAUCUACUUUAGGCUUUAGUUUUCUUUUCCCUAGCCGUCAGACGUUGGAGACUCUUCUCUUGCUUUUUGGCUUUCACGUUUUUGACUCUCUCACUUGAGUCUUCGGAUCUGUACAAUUCGUGGGGGCUUUUGGCAUUGAAUUUGGGGAUUCAGUACGAUUGCCAACGCAGAGAUAAGGAAGACGCUCUCUUUUUUCUUUCUUCGUACUUCACUGUUCCAGAUUCUUUGAUGUCUGCGUGGAUGAAAUUAAUUAAUUCGCGCAAGAUUGACACGAUGAGGAGCGGCUAAUUUCCUCCUCUACCCAAAGGUUGACGCAAAGGCGCGGUCCAUAAUAUCUGUGAGAUCUAAUCGAAUUUCAUUAUUUCUUCCAUUUUAUUGCUAUUCGUGCGUUUCCUGAAUUAAUUGUUCAUGGGUAUUUUAUUAAUUGAAUAUCAACGGCCGGGUAUUUGAUUUAAUUUAAUAGCCUACUGCCACGUUAAUUAAAUAGAAUCCGUAAUUGUUCAUUUAAUUGACACCCCGUGGCAACCACCAUAAUUGGCUUUAUGAUGGGGAAACGCAUGAUCUAAUUUAAAUAAACCCUCUUAGCGUGUUUAUUGGUUAGGGUUGGGUUCUUCUAGCUUUAAUG
rnacentral:lncRNA from 1 species